GGGCCCGCCAGGUUUGGGAACUGGACCUAAGAACUCCGGUCUCACGGGUUCGAUUCCCGUCGGGUCCA
rnacentral:tRNA from 1 species